AUACGGAGGGGACUAGCGUUGUUCGGAAUUACUGGGCGUAAAGCGCGCGUAGGCGGAUUUGCAAGUCGGGGGUGAAAGCCCGAGGCUCAACCUCGGAACUGCCCUCGAUACUGCAAAUCUCGAGUCCGAGAGAGGUGAGUGGAAUUCCUAGUGUAGAGGUGAAAUUCGUAGAUAUUAGGAAGAACACCAGUGGCGAAGGCGGCUCACUGGCUCGGUACUGACGCUGAGGCGCGAAAGCGUGGGGAGCAAACAGGAUUAGAUACCCUGGUAGUCCACGCCGUAACCUAUGGGUGCUAGCCGUCGGGGAGCUUGCUCUUCGGUGGCGCAGCAAACGCAUUAAGCACCCCGCCUGGGGAGUACGGUCGCAAGAUUAAA
rnacentral:rRNA from 1 species